rnacentral:tRNA from 1 species
GGUGGGGUGGCGGAGCGGUUACGCCCCGUCAGUGAGCGCAUUCACGUGGGUCCGAGUGCCGCCCCGGGUCUCCCACCCCCACCU